rnacentral:lncRNA from 1 species
CUCGACUUCCCAUCAGACCAACCAUCACACAAAAUAGUGGCCCCAUAUUUCUCCCACCCAUCUCUUUGAGAAAUCAAAAUUUUCUUGACAUCAAAUACAACAUCUUUCAACAAGGGCUCCCUAACCUCAUGUAGUGAAGGAGGAACAAGUCCUGGGCCAUAUUGCCUAAUUGUCUGGACCAUACAUGCAAAGCUAUCGAGAGUUAUAGUAUUAAAAGGAAU